rnacentral:rRNA from 1 species
GCACAGAGUUAGCCGUCCCUUCCUCUUUCGCUACUAUCAGCUCAUCAUCUUUUAAAUAAUGAGGUUUGAUCGCAAAUGACAGGGGUUUACGGGCCGAAGCCAUUCAUCCCCCACGCGGCGUCGCUCCAUCAGGCUUGCGCCCAUUGUGAAAAAUUCUCGACUGCUGCCACCCGUAGGUGUCUGGACCGUGUCUCAGUUCCAGUGUGGCUGGUCGUCCUCUCAGACCAGCUACCCGUCUUAGCCUUGGUAAGCCGUUACCUUACCAACUAGCUGAUAGGCCGCGGGCUCAUCAUGAAGCGUCAGGCCUUACGGUCCCCAACUUUAAAAAUCAGGAGAUGCCCCCCAAUUUUCACAUCCGGUAUUAGCUCGCCUUUCAGCAAGUUAUCCCGAACUUCAUGGCAGAUUACCCACGUGUUACGCACCCUUGCGCCGCUCCGACUACGAAAUAUUGCUACCUCGUAAUCAGCGCUCGACUUGCAUGUCUUAUCCACGCCGCCAGCGUUCGUU